GCCAUGGAGCUGCUAAAGCUGAACCGGAGCGUGCAGGGAACCGGACCCGGGCCGGGGGCUUCCCUGUGCCGCCCGGGGGCGCCUCUCCUCAACAGCAGCAGUGUGGGCAACCUCAGCUGCGAGCCCCCUCGCAUUCGCGGAGCCGGGACACGAGACAGAACAAAUACAGAUCUUCUAAACACCAGGAGAAGAACUGAACUGUCCCAAUCUUCUGAGUCGCCUGGUCUGAUGCCAGUUUUCCUCAUCCCCAGGAAGAUGAUGAGAUGAUGCUCACGGGUAGACUUAUCAAGGCACUUGUGGAUGUACCCCAGCAGAAUUGGAGCUGGCCAUUAGAAUCACUCUUUACGCAGUGAUCUUCCUGAUGAGCGUUGGAGGAAAUAUGCUCAUCAUCGUGGUCCUGGGACUGAGCCGCCGCCUGAGGACUGUCACCAAUGCCUUCCUCCUCUCACUGGCAGUCAGCGAC
rnacentral:lncRNA from 1 species